rnacentral:rRNA from 1 species
GAAGGGGGCUAGCGUUGUUCGGAAUCACUGGGCGUAAAGCGCGCGUAGGCGGAUUGUUAAGUCGGGGGUGAAAUCCUGAGGCUCAACCUCAGAACUGCCUUCGAUACUGGCGAUCUUGAGUCCGGGAGAGGUGAGUGGAAUUCCUAGUGUAGAGGUGAAAUUCGUAGAUAUUAGGAAGAACACCAGUGGCGAAGGCGGCUCACUGGCCCGGUACUGACGCUGAGGCGCGAAAGCGUGGGGAGCAAACAGGAUUAGAUACCCUGGUAGUCCACGCCGUAAACGAUGGAUGCUAGCCGUCGGACAGCUUGCUGUUCGGUGGCGCAGCUAACGCAUUAAGCAUCCCGCCUGGGGAGUACGGUCGCAAGAUUA